rnacentral:rRNA from 1 species
GACGAACGCUGGCGGCGUGCCUAACACAUGCAAGUCGAAAGGAGACGUUACGAACGAGAAUUUCGGUUCAAGUUUGUAAUGUUCUUAGUGGCGGACGGGUGAGUAACGCGUCAGCAAUCUGCCUUUCCGAGGGGGAUAACACUCUGAAAAGAGUGCUAAUACCGCAUAACGUGUUUUGGUGGCAUCCCCGAAACACCAAAGGAGAAAUCCGCUGAAAGAUUAUCUCGCGUCAAAUUAGGUAGUUGGUGAGGUAACGGCCCACCAAGCCGAGGAUUGGUAGCCGGACUUAGGGGUAGAACGGCCACAUUGGGACUGAGACACGGCCCAGACUACAACGGGAGGCAGCAGUGGGGAAUAUUGCACAAUGGGCGAAAGCCUGAUGCAGCAACGCCUCGUGAGGGAAGACGGCCUUCGGGUUGUAAACCUCUUUCCUCAGUGACGAAACAAAAGACGGUAGCUGAGGAGGAAGCCACGGCUAACUACGUGCCAGCCGCCGCUGUAAAAC